ensembl:snRNA U6 U6 spliceosomal RNA
GUCCUCUCUUCUGUAGCACAUGUACUAAAAUUAGAAUGAUACAGGGAAGAUUAUUAGCAUGACCCCUGUGCAAGGAUGACACACAAAUCUGUGAAGCGUCCCAUUUUUUA